rnacentral:rRNA from 1 species
UAGUUAAAACUUUCAACAACGGAUCUCUUGGUUCUGGCAUCGAUGAAGAACGCAGCGAAAUGCGAUAAGUAAUGUGAAUGCAGNAAUUCAGUGAAUCAUCGAAUCUUGAACGCACAUUGCGCCCCUUGGUAUUCCGGNGGGCAUGCCUGUUCGAGCGUCAUUACAACCCUCAAGCUCUGCUUGGUGUUGGGCGUCACCAGCCUUGGUGUGCCCUANAAUCAGUGGCGGCGCCGUCUGGCUCUAAGCGUAGUACAUACUCUCGCUAUGGACGCCUGGCGGAUGCUUGCCAGCAAACCCCUAAUUUAUCAAGGUUGACCUCGGAUCAGGUAGGGAUACCCGCUGAACUUAAGCAUAUCAAUAAGCGGAGGAAAAGAAACCAACAGGGAUUACCUCAGUAACGGCGAGUGAAGCGGUAACAGCUCAAAUUUGAAAUCUGGGUCUUUCAGGCUCCGAGUUGUAAUUUGUAGAAGAUGCUUCGGGUGCGGCUCCGGUCUAAGUUCCUUGGAACAGGACGUCACAGAGGGUGAGAAUCCCGUAUGUGAUCGGUUGCUUGCGCCCAUGUGAAGCUCUUUCGACGAGUCGAGUUGUUUGGGAAUGCAGCUCUAAAUGGGUGGUAAAUUUCAUCUAAAGCUAAAUAUUGGCCAGAGACCGAUAGCGCACAAGUAGAGUGAUCGAAAGAUGAAAAGCACUUUGGAAAGAGAGUUAAACAGUACGUGAAAUUGUUGAAAGGGAAGCGCUUGCAACCAGACUUGCGCGUUGUCGAUCAUCCGAGGUUCUCCUCGGUGCACUCGAUCUCGCUCAGGCCAGCAUCGGUUUCAGUGGUUAGAUAAAGGCCUUGGGAAUGUAGCUUCUUUCGGGGAGUGUUAUAGCCCUCGGUGCAAUGUAGCCUACUGGGACCGAGGACCGCGCUGGGCUAGGAUGCUGGCGUAAUGGUUGUAAGCGACCCGUCUUGAAACACGGACCAAGGAGUCUAACAUCUAUGCGAGUGUUUGGGUGCCAAACCCAUACGCGUAAUGAAAGUGAACGGAGGUGAGAACCCUUAAGGGUGCAUCAUCGACCGAUCCUGAUGUCUUCGGAUGGAUUUGAGUAAGAGCAUAGCUGUUGGGACCCGAAAGAUGGUGAACUAUGCCUGAAUAGGGUGAAGCCAGAGGAAACUCUGGUGGAGGCUCGCAGCGGUUCUGACGUGCAAAUCGAUCGUCAAAUUUGGGUAUA